rnacentral:lncRNA from 1 species
CAUGCCCUGCCUCAACAAGGACAAACAGAUGCUCUUACUCAGAACCAACAACAGUUUAUUUCUCCGUCAGCUGCUCCAGUGCCUCAUGUUGUCAAUGAGACAAAAGUAAAUCUACCAGUGGCCCUCCAGGGUCAGUCUCAGAAGCCCCCUUUACAGCCUGUUUAUUCUGGUUUUACCACAUCUGCGCAGAGCCAGGUGGGUGCCCCAGCCUUUGUCCAGACUCAAUCUCUGACCGUCAACCAGCCAUCUAUUCCUCAUCCCACAAUUUCAGCCCAUAGCCAGCACCAUGGUUUGACUCCUGUUAAGCAAAGUGCCCCAGUGACAGGACAAAUGCAAGGACAGUUACAUCCCCAAGCUUCUUUGAACCUUCAAUAUGUUGGUCAGUCUCAGACACAAACGGCACCAUCUGUCCAGCCAGACACAACAAACUUGACACCACCCCACUUUCAGCAGAUGCUGCUGUCUCCCGUAGCCCAUACCUCUGCUGUGGACCCUGUGAAGUUCAUUUCAAGUCCCCAACCUGUGCAGCAGAUGGGACAGGCUUUAAUCGUAGAGCAGCAAAGAGCUGCGUAUCUUCAACAACAGACUGUUGGGAGCAGUGCUGAGUUUUCAACUAUCCAACCCAUUUCUCACCCUCAUCCUAUUGAGUACCAGCAGCAGCUGAAGGUUCUUCCCCAAAUCCAACAGACUCAGGCAGCUUCUUCACAGCAGGCCCUGCCCCAGUUACCAAUGCAGACAGCAGUCGGUGUUGUGCAGAUGCAGACUCCUCAAACACAAAUGCAUCUUGAAGAACCUCAGAUGGUCAUGCAUCAACCAAUUCCCUCUCCAGCUAAUGUUGGUCCCACUCAGACCCUACAGAAUAACCUGCCCCUCUACAGCCAUGUCGUGACCGGUGCUCCCUCUUCCCCUCAGCAUCAGGAGAAACAGACAUUAACUGCACACACACAUACGAUACAAGCACAAUCUCUCCCACAGGCACUCACUGAGGCAUCCACAGCUGAACCCCUUCUGCCCCAUUCUGUUUUUCCUGCACAACCAACACCCCUCGGCCCUACUUACUCAUGCACAGCAACAUCACUACCAUCCCUUUCAUUGUUGCCAUCCAACCAUCCAGCUGUCCCUGCUCCAGAGCUGCCCUCAUCUCCACCAGCUGCCCAGGUAACCCUUCCGGGGCAUGCCGACCAUAUCCUCCCCUCUUCUCAACCUGUUGCACCUUUAGAGGCGCUUGACUCUAAUGCCCCCAUUCUGCCCCACGCCUCGCUGCAAGACUGUGACCUUUCCCUGUUGGGCAAUGCACAGGUACAGGUUUAACUAAAAUAGAUUUUCUCAAUUUGGAUCUCAUUUACCAUUUGGAAAGCUAAUGUUUAUGAUUAUGUUUAGA